rnacentral:lncRNA from 1 species
AAAGGACCUGUAUAAAACAAAAGAUGGCCAAGAAGUAGAAGGAAAAUUAAACUAAAGCCGGGAGUUCAGCUUUGCUUAA